UACGUAGGGCGCAAGCGUUGUCCGGAAUUAUUGGGCGUAAAGAGCUCGUAGGCGGCCAGUUGCGUCUGCUGUGAAAUCCCGGGGCUCAACCCCGGGCGUGCAGUGGAUACGGGCUGGCUAGAGGCAGGCAGGGGAGAACGGAAUUCCCGGUGUAGCGGUGAAAUUCGUAGAUAUUCGGAGGAACACCAGUGGCGAAGGCGGCUCACUGGCUCGGUACUGACGCUGAGGUGCGAAAGCGUGGGGAGCAAACAGG
rnacentral:rRNA from 1 species